UAGUCCACGCAGUAAACGAUGAAUGUUAGUCGUCGGGGGGCUCGUCCUUUCGGUGAUGCAGCUAACGCAUUAAACAUUCCGCCUGGGGAGUACGGUCGCAAGAUUAAAACUCAAAGAAAUUGACGGGGGCCCGCACAAGCGGUGGAGCAUGUGGUUUAAUUCGAAGCAACGCGCAGAACCUUACCUACCCUUGACAUGCCGGUCGCGAUUUCCAGAGAUGGAUUUCUUCAAUUCGGUUGGACCGUGCACAGGUGCUGCAUGGCUGUCGUCAGUUCGUGUCGUGAGAUGUUGGGUUAAGUCCCGCAACGAGCGCAACCCUCACUCUUAGUUGCCAGCAUUUAGUUGGGCACUCUAGGAGAACUGCCGGUGCUAAGCCGGAGGAAGGUGGGGGAUGACGUCAAGUCCUCAUGGGCCCUUACGGGGUAGGGGCUACACACGUGCUACAAUGGCGCUGACAGAGGGGUUAAUCCCUAAAAGGCGUCUCAGUUCGGGAUUGUCUUCUGCAACUCGAAGACA
rnacentral:rRNA from 1 species